AACUGUUAUUAUGUUGUCUUCUAUAUUCUCGGAAACGCCCACAAAUCGCCCAAAACUUUGGCACCUACUGUUUUGAUGCUAGAAUAAAAAUUUUAACUGAAAUGUAUUGCUCUCAUCAAUACCUAUCCAUAGAUCCAAACGCUAGUUUAACACCCACAAACUUCAAGAAAUCCCUUGUACGCAGCGCCAGUUUUUUACGCGAAUAUGCCACGCCCACUCUAACGUCUACAAACCGCACAAACCUGUGGCGCCCAAUCUCACUUUGCUGCUUGCAUAUCUCCAUUUUCCUUUUGUCCAUUUAGCUGAGCCGAGUACAUCGACUAAAGCGUUCUUCCUUGUUUAAUAGGUUGGCAGACUAAAACAUUAAUUUGUGGGACUCGAAUGCUGGGAGUCUACAAAAUAUAUUUGUAUAUAUGUUUAUGAAUUUUGUAUUAAAUAUAUAGCAGCGGAUAUUCAAUAAAAAUCUAUUGCCAAA